rnacentral:rRNA from 1 species
GAUGAACGCUAGCGGCAGGCUUAAUACAUGCAAGUCGAGGGGCAUCGGGGGUAGCAAUACCUGCCGGCGACCGGCAAACGGGUGCGAACACGUACACAACCUUCCUUUUGGUGGGGAUAGCCCAGAGAAAUUUGGAUUAAUACCCCGUAGCAUAACGAUGAGGCAUCUUGUUGUUAAUUAAAGAUUUAUUGCCAGAAGAUGGGUGUGCGUCUGAUUAGGUAGUUGGUAGAGGUAACGGCUCACCAAGCCUGCGAUCAGUAACUGGUGUGAGAGCACGACCAGUCACACGGGCACUGAGACACGGGCCCGACUCCUACGGGAGGCAGCAGUAAGGAAUAUUGGUCAAUGGACGCAAGUCUGAACCAGCCAUGCCGCGUGGAGGAUGAAGGUCCUCUGGAUUGUAAACUUUCUUUUAUCUGGGAAGAAUGCAUCUUUUCAAGGUGUUUGACGGUACCAGAUGAAUAAG